GUCUCCAUCUUUGCGGUUUUCGUUGAACUUAGGAUUGCUCUUUGCAUUGAUUGAGCUUCAAAGUUCAAAGUAAUCUGUUUAUCAGUUUAUGGGACCGUUUUGCUUAAAUCUAAUAAUGACGAUGGUUUAAUACGGCCCAUAAAUAAUAAAAGGCCCGAAAAAUCAAACAAUUUCACCGUAACUCAAAAAACCCAAAGUUUGUACUUCAACGCUGAAAUCCCAAAGCAUAUAAAAAAAAAAAAAAACACAUUUUAAAGACCCGCACGUUAAACAUCAAGCACCAUAACCUUCAUCUAGCAUUAGCAACUCCAACCCUUUAAAUCACCCAUCAUCACUAAAUGACAAGAUUCACAUUCAGCUUCCCCUGUUUCCAACUUCACUAAAACCAUAAACAAAAAAAUAGAAAGGAGAAUAAUUAGAGCAUAUAUCAAUAUUUAAAUAGUGGAGGAAAGUACGGAUUGCACCAUUCUAGAAAUGACGAGAUCUAAAGAAAG
rnacentral:lncRNA from 1 species